CCUACGGGUGGCAGCAGUGAGGAAUAUUGGUCAAUGGACGAGAGUCUGAACCAGCCAAGCAGCGUGAAGGAUGACUGCCCUAUGGGUUGUAAACUCCUUUUAUAAAGGAAUAAAACGUGGCACGUGUGCCUUUUUGCACGUACUUUAUGAAUAAGGAUCGGCUCACUCCGUGCCAGCAGCCGCGGUAAUACGGAGGAUCCGAGCGUUAUCCGGAUUUAUUGGGUUUAAAGGGAGCGUAGAUGGGUUGUUAAGUCAGUUGUGAAAGUUUGGGGCUCAACCGUAAAAUUGCAAUUGAUACUGGCAGUCUUGAGUACAGUUGAGGUAGGCGGAAUUCGUAGUGUAGCGGUGAAAUGCUUAGAUAUCACGAAGAACCCCGAUGGCGAAGGCAGCUUACUAAACUGUGACUGACAUUGAUGCUCGAAAGUGUGGGUAGCAAACAGGAUUAGAUACCCUUGUAGUC
rnacentral:rRNA from 1 species